ensembl:lncRNA
CGGGGGCCCAAAAUAAAUUCAGCGUUAAGCCCCCGAAAGCCUAGAACCGGACCUACAUACACCUCUCAGGUGUGUGGCAUGGUGUUGCGGAAUUUUUUUCUCCAGCCAAAGCUUUUUUUUCAAGACCUGCUUUGAAUGCAUUGGCUAUCCAUCUCAAAUAAGUAUAUGCAGCCUAACACAUAGCCUAUACUCGUUUAUGUAUAAUGCGUAACGGGUUAAUGUACUAUUACGGACAUCGCGAACUAAACAGCAUUCUGUUUCAUUGUGAUUAUGUAGGCUACGCUCGGACAGCGGGUUUUGUUUAGGACUAUUGCGCUCUGGAGAUGACUUCUUUUUGGUGGAUUACUCGUUGAAAGAGCCGAUCUUUUCGAGCGCAACCAAACUGGUGAAUUGUUCAACAUCUUUCCGCUCCAGGAAACUGGAACUCAUGGCUUCGUCUCAUAAACUGGGUCAUCGGAGGGAUAUCAAUGCCUGGCCAAGAAUGUCUUCAACUUUUUGUGCUGCGGUGCUACUGACCAGCCUACUGAUAAUUUACUGUGAUGAGAAACCUAUAGGUUCAAGAGACUCAUGCAGGCAUUCUCUGACCCAGUGACUGAGAUCAACCUGCUCUUUUACCAAGAUGAUUACCUUCAUCCACAAACUUUGCUCAAAGUUUGUAAAGCCUGCAGCUCUUCGGAACCUGGAGCCACAAGAAAUCCACUAUGAGGAAUAGACAAACCAACUGCCAGGAGCAGAGCUGAAUGUUGGUUAAACAACAAGAUCCAAGAUUAACAGGCUUCUUGAGGCUGGAGACAUCCAAACUACCCUUCACAUAAUUUUAGGAAAUCUCACUCCAAGCUAUCUUCAGGAGUUGGCAGGCCUGAAUCAACCAAUCUGGAGGUUUCCUACUACCCUUACUAAGCAUAUCAGUGCUGUUCAUAACUAGAUUAAUUGGAUCAAGACAGGGUAAAUUAUAUAAAUCAUGGCCAGAAAUUGUUUUUGGUACUGCAGCACCGGUAGAAAAAAUGAAGAGAAUCCAAAACAUCACUUGUGACAACAAUCUGUUAAAAAUGAUUUGGACUUAAAGAGAACAAGAGAAGCUGGGGCAAGACACUGAUACUGGCCAAUCAUCACUAUAUACGUGUGUUUGUGUGUCUAUGUUCAUAAUAUGUAUAAGGAAAAUGUGUGAUUUACCAAACAAUUCUACAAGCAUUGUAGGAGAUGAUAAAUACCAAUUGUUCUUAGCCUCAGUGUCCCCUUGACAGUCUGUUGAGCCUCAGUGUUUGAAAACUUAGUUUUGCUGAAUGGCAUGUUUUAUCUGCUGAGCCAAUCUGUACUUUCUGCAAAAAUGGCCCAUCUGUAUCUGAAAACUCGGGAAAAUGAAUCAUGUGCCAAAUAUUUCAUCUGAGAAACCAAAGCAAUCUUAUAUUACAUUUCUCAUCUUCUGAGUCUACAGUAAUAUAUCAACAAUUGUUUUACACAUGGAAAUCUCAAUAGAUUUUUCAUGACAAAUGCACUGAAGGUAAAAUUAUUUGACAUACAUAUGUUAGCCUGUUAAGAAACAUUGCAAAGAAAAAACAAUCAAACUGAAGCCUAACUGAAUUAUUCUCACAAUUACAUGAACUUUUAAAAUAAUAUUCUGUAGCUCUCAAACGUAUUGGACUUCUCCACAUUUUCCAAUUGCUACAUGAAAUGAAAAUGGAUUUAAUCAGAAGAUUUUGCCAUCAAAAUAUUAACAAACUUAACAGAAUACAUCUGCAAAUUGUUUGAAAUGCAUUGCUUAUAUUAAACAGAAAAUAGCCGAUUUAGUAAGUAUUACUUGCCUUUACUAUGUCACCCCUGAACAAGCUGCUAUAUUUAGCACAACCGUAACACCCCACACACACCAUAGCUGCAGUUUUCACACUAAAUCGGGCUACUUUUCAAACAAUGUUGCGAUUUUUUGGCAUACUUCUGAACUUCACAGCAGCAGCACCUUUUCUGUCUUUAUAUUGCUAUAUUUAGUGUUUCUAUGCUGUUAUCACAUCAGACGUCAGCUACGGUAGGAUCCGCGGUUUCACCUGCGUAUAUACUGCAUCUUAUGUUGUGUUACGGGGGAUUUGGUUCACUUGUAAAAUAGUCUAUAUUGUGCACCAACAAAAGUUGGGCUAGUUUUCAGUCAUUUUGGGAUGGAUUUGAGCAGUCGUUGGGCCAGAAAUGUUUGCUUAACCCGGUUAAUACUGUCCUGAAAACCCCUAAUGCAGCGAGAUGCUUCUCUGGAAUGCUUAUCAGCAUGUAGUAGAUCAAAUGUUUAAAAAAAUAUACAUACAAGCUUAUUAUUGUAAUGUUUGACUACUUUAUAUUCAGUGUUACAAUAUUUUUAUUUUAUUUUUCCAACAGACUUUGUAUAUU